GAUGAACGCUGGCGGCGUGCCUAAUACAUGCAAGUCGAGCGAACAGAUGAGGAGCUUGCUCCUCUGACGUUAGCGGCGGACGGGUGAGUAACACGUGGAUAACCUACCUAUAAGACUGGGAUAACUUCGGGAAACCGGAGCUAAUACCGGAUAAUAUAUUGAACCGCAUGGUUCAAUAGUGAAAGACGGUUUUGCUGUCACUUAUAGAUGGAUCCGCGCCGCAUUAGCUAGUUGGUAAGGUAACGGCUUACCAAGGCAACGAUGCGUAGCCGACCUGAGAGGGUGAUCAGCCACACUGGAACUGAGACACGGACCAGACUCCUACGGGAGGCAGCAGUAGGGAAUCUUCCGCAAUGGGCGAAAGCCUGACGGAGCAACGCCGCGUGAGUGAUGAAGGUCUUCGGAUCGUAAAACUCUGUUAUUAGGGAAGAACAAAUGUGUAAGUAACUAUGCACGUCUUGACGGUACCUAAUCAGAAAGCCACGGCUAACUACGUG
rnacentral:rRNA from 1 species